GACAGAGGCCCCGAGCGUUAGGCGGAAUCACUGGGCUUAAAGCGUGUGUAGGCGGGCCCGUAAGUGUCUUGUGAAAUCCCACGGCUCAACCGUGGAACUGCUUGGUAUACUGGGCGUCUUGAGCCACUUAGGGGCAACCGGGAACAAACGGUGGAGCGGUGAAAUGCGUAGAUAUCGUUUGGAACGCCGAUGGUGAAAACAGGUUGCUGGGAGUGUGCUGAC
rnacentral:rRNA from 1 species